AUUUAAUAAAGUUGUAUAGUGUUGUGUAGUAUUUAAUCAUGAGGUGCAGUAUUUAAUAAAGUUGUACAGUGUUGUGUAGUAUUUAAUCAUGAGGUGUAGUAUUUAAUCAGGCUGUGUAGUAUUUAAUAAAGUUGUACAGUGUUGUGUAGUAUUUAAUCAUGAGGUGCAGUAUUUAAUAAAGUUGUAUAGUGUUGUGUAGUAUUUAAUCAUGAGGUGUAGUAUUUAAUAAAGUUGUACAGUGUUGUGUAGUAUUUAAUCAUGAGGUGUAGUAUUUAAUCAAGUUGUAUAGUGUUGUGUAGUAUUUAAUCAUGAGGUGUAGUAUUUAAUCAGGCUGUGUAGUAUUUAAUAAAGUUGUACAGUGUUGUGUAGUAUUUAAUCAUGAGGUGUAGUAUUUAAU
ensembl:lncRNA